CAGUAGCCACGGUAAUACGAGGGGGGCAAGCGUUGUUCGGAAUUAUUGGGCGUAAAGGGUGCGUAGGCGGUUUGAUAAGUCUUAUGUGAAAUCCCGGGGCUCAACCUCGGAACUGCCUUUGAUACUGGCGACCUUGAGUAUGGGAGAGGUGAGUGGAACUCCGAGUGUAGAGGUGAAAUUCGUAGAUAUUCGGAAGAACACCAGUGGCGAAAGCGACUCACUGGCCCAUUACUGACGCUGAGGCUCGAAAGCGUGGGGAGCAAACAGGAUUAGAUACCCCGGUAGUCCCUGUCUCUUAUAC
rnacentral:rRNA from 1 species